CUCAUUGAACUCGCCUGCAUCUCUUGGGGGAUUUUUGUGGCUCUCUUCGUUAUUGGAGCCAGGCCUACACGUCAGCAACCAUGUCCAAGGGACCUGCAGUUGGUAUUGAUCUUGGCACCACCUACUCUUGUGUGGGUGUUUUCCAGCACGGAAAAGUCGAGAUAAUUGCCAAUGAUCAGGGAAACCGAACCACUCCAAGCUAUGUCGCCUUUACGGACACUGAACGGUUGAUCGGUGAUGCCGCAAAGAAUCAAGUUGCAAUGAACCCCACCAACACAGUUUUUGGUGAGUUACUAAUUUUAAAUGACAGAACAAAUUUAACAGGGCUAGGAAGCAGAAAAGUUUAUGAAACGUGAGCGGGUAUCUUUUUGUUUUUAGAAAAACUGAGCUGAGACUUGUUCUCAAGUCUGUUAUAAAACAGGUUGUAGAAACCUUUCAAGCUGAAAUCUAGGUAAUGUAGGAGGUCGAAGUUUGAACCUUCACUACGUAUAUGGUAGUUGAAUUCACCUACCUAUGAACUCUUAGUUAUUUGAGUAAUCAUGGACUUGGGUUUUAUCAGAAGAGGUAUGAAAUUAA
rnacentral:sRNA from 1 species